rnacentral:rRNA from 1 species
UACGUAGGUGGCAAGCGUUAUCCGGAUUUACUGGGUGUAAAGGGGGCGCAGACGGCGAUGCAAGCCAGGAGUGAAAGCCCGGGGCCCAACCCCGGGACUGCUCUUGGAACUGCGUGGCUGGAGUGCAGGAGGGGCAGGCGGAAUUCCUGGUGUAGCGGUGAAAUGCGUAGAUAUCAGGAGGAACACCGGUGGCGAAGGCGGCCUGCUGGACUGCAACUGACGUUGAGGCCCGAAAGCGUGGGGAGCAAACAGG